GAUGAACGCUGGCGGCGUGCCUAAUACAUGCAAGUCGAGCGAAGCGGGGACGGGUGAGUACCCCGUGGAUAACCUCCUAUACCACUCGGAUAACUUCGGGAAACAGGUGCUAAACCGGCUACUUAUAGAUGGAUCCUCGCUGCAUUAGCUAGUUGGUAAGGUAACGGCUUACCAAGGCAACGAUGCAUAGCCGACCUGAGAGGGUGAUCGGGCACACUGGAACUGAGACACGGUCCAGACUCCUACGGGAGGCAGCAGUAGGGAAGCUUCCGCAAUGGGCGAAAGCCUGACGGAGCAACGACGCGUGAGUGAAGAAGGUCUUCGGAUCGUAAAACUCUGUUGUUAGGGAAGCGGUACCUAAUCAGAAAGCCACGGCUAACUACGUGCCAGCAGCCGCGGUAAUAC
rnacentral:rRNA from 1 species